rnacentral:piRNA from 1 species
UGGGCUGUCCAACUGCAACUCACCUUGGGC